rnacentral:rRNA from 1 species
GACGAACGCUGGCGGCGUGCUUAACACAUGCAAGUCGUACGGUAAGGCCCUUUCGGGGGUACACGAGUGGCGAACGGGUGAGUAACACGUGAGUAACCUGCCCACAACUUUGGGAUAACGCUAGGAAACUGGUGCUAAUACUGGAUAUGUGCUCCUGCUGCAUGGUGGGGGUUGGAAAGCUCCGGCGGUUGUGGAUGGACUCGCGGCCUAUCAGCUUGUUGGUGGGGUAGUGGCCUACCAAGGUGGCGACGGGUAGCCGGCCUGAGAGGGUGACCGGCCACAUUGGGACUGAGAUACGGCCCAGACUCCUACGGGAGGCAGCAGUGGGGAAUAUUGCACAAUGGGCGCAAGCCUGAUGCAGCAACGCCGCGUGCGGGAGGACGGCCUUCGGGUUGUAAACCGCUUUCAGCAGGGACGAAGCUUUUUGUGACGGUACCUGCAGAAGAAGCACCGGCUAACUACGUG